rnacentral:tRNA from 1 species
GGGGACGUAGCUCAAUUGGCAGAGCACCGCGUUUGCAACGCGGGGGUUGAGGGUUCGAGUCCCUCCGUCUCCA